CACACACAGACACAGACACACACACAAACACUUGGAGAUGGAUAGGUAGAUGAAUGAUCGGAUAGUUGAGUAGAAGGAUAGUGGGUGGACGCCUGUACACGUGCGCACCAUGUCCGUGCUAUCUACCAACUGUGGGUGUAUCAGUGUGUAGACAGACUGUUGAGGGAAACUGCAACAUUCUCUCUUAGAAUGAGACCUGAGGAGAUAGAUCUGCUGGGGUAAAGGCUGGAGAGAUGCUAGGACAAGGUAUCCCUCCAGCCACAGAAGGGAGCCCUGGGGAGGGAUGUCACCUUGGGCCUUGAGUGGGGACAUCCGGAGACAUGCCUAUCCCUAGUGACCCACACAGGGGAUGGCAGCUCUGACUUAGACCUCAGUAUCAUUUCUUAACAUCUUCUAGUUGAGCCAUCAGACCCUUCCCCCAGCACAGUGUUGUGCCACUUUGCUGAUGGAGUUCACACGUGGGAAAGGCAGGUCACUGGGUCAUGAGGUCAUGUAUCCAAAGAAUCAGGCCACUGUCACCUUCAGAGAGCCCAGCCUUUCCAUUAAAAUCCAGUAAUUGCCAAAAAUACCAGGAGAGCUCAGCCUGCGAGAGGCAGGGCUCCCCAGAGGGUGAGGCUGGGGCUCCAAUCCUGAGACAGGGAGGAGGAACCUGAAUGGGGUGGGGAGGGGGGAGGGUAGGGAUGAGUCUGGGUCCUGGAUCUGAGGGAUGCAGCUGGAGCUCUAGGACCCAGACAGAUGAGAAUGCACAUUUAACACGCCAGUCCUGGAAACGGAUGAGAAAAGGGCAAGUUCCGGGAGGGGGAAUUCCACUGUCUCCAUGAGUACUGUACAGUCCCUUUCGGGAGGAAAUGACGACCUCGAAUCCACCUGGUGGGAAAAUGAGUUUAGAAGACUCUGAAGUGGCUGUGGUGGUACACACUUGUAAUCAUGGCACUCAGGAGGUGGGAACAAGAGGAUCAGCAGUUCAUGGUCAUCCUUCACCGCACAUAGGAUCGAAGCCAGCCUGGGCCAUGUGAGAUCCCCCUUGGAUCAUCAACCUAGGUCAUGCUAUGUCUUUGAUGGAAAUUUGGGGUUCAAGUCCUGGAGCCAUGUCCAGAGUGUCCCUGUCUUUGUGAUAAGGGUGGUGUCUCUAUCAAAACAGCAGGACAGAUUCCGUCCUGUCCUCAAAACUCUAUUUUAAGCUGCUAACCUUCGGAGAGGCUGCUGUCUCCUGUCCUUGGAGGAAGCAGAAAAUUAAUGUCCUUGGAGUGAUAAGUUCCUCACCUUUGAGUGCUGGGAAAGAGACCACGGAGCAUUUCCAGCAGUCGAAAAUAGACAUAACAGCUAUUAUGUCCAGCUUCUAACAACAGGAAAAGGCUGGUCCCGACAACAAGAUGAGUUAUUUCUUCCCGGGUUAAAGAUGCCCCUUUCCAGAUGUAUGGUCUCUCCUGUCUGCACAAACGUUAUCAGUUUCAAGGUUAACAGUCCUUUACCCCUUUACCCAAUCAUGUAACACCAAGGCUUGAAAGCCCCAGCUUGUGCAUUUUCCCUAUAUAAGCUCUAAACCCCUAGACCUGAGCGUCACAUUCCAAACCUGUUACGCAGUGAGGGUUGCAGCCCUAGCUUGAAAUUGAAUAAAAGGCUCUCGUGUGCUUGCA